rnacentral:rRNA from 1 species
UUUUCUUUCGGGAGGAACUUAGUGGCGGACGGGUGAGUAACGCGUGGGUAACCUGCCCUGUACAGGGGGACAACAGCUGGAAACGGCUGCUAAUACCGCAUAAGCCCUUAGCACUGCAUGGUGCAUAGGGAAAAGGAGUAAUCCGGUACAGGAUGGACCCGCGUCUGAUUAGCCAGUUGGCAGGGUAACGGCCUACCAAAGCGACGAUCAGUAGCCGAUCUGAGAGGAUGUACGGCCACAUUGGGACUGAGACACGGCCCAGACUCCUACGGGAGGCAGCAGUGGGGAAUAUUGCACAAUGGAGGAAACUCUGAUGCAGCGACGCCGCGUGAGUGAAGAAGUAUUUCGGUAUGUAAAGCUCUAUCAGCAGGGAAGAAAAUGACGGUACCUGACUAAGAAGCACCGGCUAAAUACGUGCCAGCAGCCGCGGUAAUACGUAUGGUGCAAGCGUUAUCCGGAUUUACUGGGUGUAAAGGGAGCGUAGGUGGCGAGGCAAGCCAGAAGUGAAAACCCGGGGCUCAACCGCGGGAUUGCUUUUGGAACUGUCAUGCUAGAGUGCAGGAGGGGUGAGCGGAAUUCCUAGUGUAGCGGUGAAAUGCGUAGAUAUUAGGAGGAACACCGGAGGCGAAGGCGGCUCACUGGACUGUAACUGACACUGAGGCUCGAAAGCGUGGGGA